rnacentral:rRNA from 1 species
CCCACAUUGGAACUGAGACACGGUCCAAACUCCUACGGGAGGCAGCAGUGAGGAAUAUUGGUCAAUGGACGAGAGUCUGAACCAGCCAAGUAGCGUGAAGGAUGACUGCCCUAUGGGUUGUAAACUUCUUUUAUACGGGAAUAAAGUGAGGCACGUGUGCCUUUUUGUAUGUACCGUAUGAAUAAGGAUCGGCUAACUCCGUGCCAGCAGCCGCGGUAAUACGGAGGAUCCGAGCGUUAUCCGGAUUUAUUGGGUUUAAAGGGUGCGUAGGCGGCCUUUUAAGUCAGCGGUGAAAGUCUGUGGCUCAACCAUAGAAUUGCCGUUGAAACUGGGGGGCUUGAGUAUGUUUGAGGCAGGCGGAAUGCGUGGUGUAGCGGUGAAAUGCAUAGAUAUCACGCAGAACCCCGAUUGCGAAGGCAGCCUGCCAAGCCAUGACUGACGCUGAUGCACGAAAG